UGGGGGAUAUUGCACAAUGGAGGAAACUCUGAUGCAGCAACGCCGCGUGAGGGAAGAAGGUCUUCGGAUUGUAAACCUUUGUCCUUGGUGACGAAACAAAUGACGGUAGCCAAGGAGGAAGCUCCGGCUAACUACGUGCCAGCAGCCGCGGUAAUACGUAGGGGGCAAGCGUUAUCCGGAUUUACUGGGUGUAAAGGGAGCGUAGGUGGUGAGGCAAGUCAGAUGUGAAAACUAUCGGCUUAACUGAUAGACUGCAUUUGAAACUGUGGAGCUUGAGUGAAGUAGAGGCAGACGGAAUUCCCGGUGUAGCGGUGAAAUGCGUAGAGAUCGGGAGGAACACCAGUGGCGAAGGCGGUCUGCUGGGCUUUAACUGACGCUGAGGCACGAAAGCAUGGGUAGCAAACAGG
rnacentral:rRNA from 2 species